rnacentral:lncRNA from 1 species
UAUUCUUUUAUUAGCAUACAAUUAAUCAGUGUUGCACACUGAUGGCAGGAAUUCUACUAUACAAGAUUAUAUCAAGGGGAAAGGAUAAGGGAGAAUGGGACUCUAUGAAGAAAGAACAAGAAGGUGUCCCUGAAAAAUAAGCAGCUGGAGAACAACAAGCUUAUUGUUGACUUUCUACAGAAAAUGUCGUAACACCUGAGAAAAUUGCUGGUGAGAACAUCACACAUGUUCUUAUAGUUUUUAAAUGAAAAACUUUUAUGUUUAUCUCUUUUUUUACUAGAAUAGUAGAUAAUGGGGCAUAGAUAUUUGAGAAGGCUUAGUGCAAUUAAUCCCUUUAUCUUGCAGUACUUUACACAUGGGUUCCAUUAUCAAAAUAGGAGAGCCUAGCAGUACAAAAUCGAGGCUCUGUACUAUAUUGUUGGCCAAAGGUUAUACAUAUGUACCUGUACUGAUUUAUUUAUAUUUGUAGCAUUUGAGAUGGUUGGCUUGUCAAUGCUACAAAUCGGUAUUUCUACUUCUAGAGAAAUGUAUGUUCGUUUUCCGAAUAACUGCUAUUGACCUUACAUGAUUCUUUUAAGUCAUACUAAUUUGGAUUUGUUAUGACAUACACUUGAACAUUUAUAGUAGAGAUAUCUGACUUUGUCUGUUGGAAAUUGAUAUCAAACAACAUGGAUAGUGCUAUUGUUCCUUUGCAUAAGCCAAAUUAGUCCUGACUAUUAUAGACGGCCAUUCCUUAUAGCACUAGGCAAAAUGAAUGUGGUUACUCACUGUUUCAGAUGAGUUUGUCAAUAAUUUGGCAAUGUGGUGUCGAAGUCUUUGCCCAUGAGGUUACACCUUCAAGGGUGACAUUGAAGAAGCAUUCAGAUGCACAGACAUAACAGAAGAUCAACUUGCACGUACAAGUUGUAUUGCAGACGAUGGGGCCAUGCGGUUGAAUGUGUCUGGUCAAGUUGAGCAAGAAGCAUGAUAUCAUUAACGAGAUGUUCACAAAAUUUCUUCAAAGUUUAUUUGAUGGUGUGGCAUAUUUUUUUCUGGUUAAGUUUUCUGUAUAUUUCUAUAUUUGUUUGUACAAACUGGAAGCUACAGAUGAACUUCAUAUAUACUCUUCCAACUUCGUUCAAUAAGAUCAAAGUAUGCAAUAUGUUUUUGAAUAGUAUAUGUACUAUAUGUUUCUGAAUAGUAUAUGUAUGUUCAACAGUAUUCAAAUUCUUUCUUUUCAGAGGGAAAUAAUCUUUUCGAUGGUAAAUAUAUUCCAAAGCAAUAUAACUAUCAUUGGAUUCACUAAUUCAUGCAUUAUCGAUAGUGGUAGAGGCAGAGAAAAUGUUGUCAGAUUAGAAGAGUGUAGGUUGUUCUAUGGUGAUGGGUACGACUGUGGCGUGGAGCCUUGAGGUCUUACAUGCC